GUCAGAACGAACGCUGGCGGCAUGGAUUAGGCAUGCAAGUCGAACGAAGCAGCAAUGCUUAGUGGCGCAAGGGUGAGGAACACGUGAGUGACCUACCCGCAAGUUUGGAACAGCUCCUGGAAACGGGAAUUAAUACCGGACGUGAUCAAUGAGCUGCACGGUUUAUUGAUUAAAGCAGCAAUGCGCUUGCGGAUGGGCUCGCGUCCCAUUAGCUAGUUGGUGAGGUAACGGCCCACCAAGGCCAUGAUGGGUAGCUGGUCUGAGAGGACGACCAGCCACACUGGGACUGAGAACUGCCCAGACUCCUACGGGAGGCUGCAGUCGAGAAUUUUGGGCAAUGGACGAAAGUCUUGACCCAGCAAUGCCGCGUGCGGGAUGAAGGUCUUCGGAUUGUAAACCGCUGUUUGGAGGGACGAAAAUUGACGGUACUUCCAGAGGAAGCCACGGCUAACUACGUGCCAGCAGCCGC
rnacentral:rRNA from 1 species